UGAAGAUCAGAAAGUUACAGACAAGAAAAGUAUUGCUUAUUCUUUUCAAAUGUAAAAGAAAUCUGUACAGAAUAAGCGCUGAAAAAUGUGUAUCAUUUUUAACAUCAUGUAUUAAGGCCCAUUCCUUUCCUUGUGGAUAAUUGUUCCUUUAAUUUAAAACAAUGGCCACCAUUUGUUGUUAGACAUCCCUAUUUGCUCAUCUCACUUAGUGGAGAGGCAAAGCUGACUCUGGAAAAUCAGAAAAAUACAGAGGAUUUUUGGACUUCUGAUGAACUUUAAGGGGAAACAUAGAAUGCUUGCCUGUGCACCAAACAAGUGUUCAGUGGAAAUCACACGUAUGAGAAGGAAGUCAAUGACCCUCCUGCUAAGGAGAGUAGCAGCCCAACUGGCAGUCUCAUCAAGCCCAUCGCAGUUCCUUCUAAAAUUACAUAACCUGGGAAUACACGUACCACAGCAGUCAGUGCUGUGAACAGUGCUCCUCUUUCACCCUAAAGCUUGUGUUCUGUGAAGUAACAGCGAUCUUCAUAUACACACUUACAAAGAAAUAUUUAAUUUCAAGGUUAGUCUUCUGUUUUUCUUUUAUAUACUCAAGCAAGUGAUAAAUGAAUAUGCUGAACACUGGCUGUUGACUAACUGGAGAAUUACAGGGAAAAGCUGCAACAAAAACUUUAAGAACUG
ensembl:lncRNA